rnacentral:misc_RNA from 1 species
AGAGAGAGAGAGAGAGAGAGUUUACAAAUAGCAAACCAUGGGAUCCAUUUACAGGAAAGACAUAAAAAGCAAUUUAACCAUGGGAAACAUCAGGGAAGUCAGGCCACUAAAUUUUUAGCUUUAGUCUAGCAUAGUGAUGAUUUAUAUUUCUGUUAUUACUUGCUAUUUAGUUUAGCUUAAUGGUUAUUUUCUUUUUUUGUGUAAUUGGCUCCGACUAGGACUCGAACCCAACCUCGCAGCCAUAGAGACGACUAAAGUAUCACUAAGCAGCUUAAUUGCUAUUUUCAGUUUAUGCAUUUGUUAUUAUCCUAGGAAAUAAAGAUUCAAGGACAACUAUAGAAUACUCUCUAUCAUUGGCCAUAAAGGAAGAAAAACAAUAUAGAAUAAGUCAACAGAAAAUCCAUAUUUGUAUUUCCUAGUGAACUGACCUGCGACCCAAUCCCAAACCCAGGCCAGUAACAAUAUGAUUUCGGUUCUCACUUAAAAGCUUAUCUCACUGAGUCACUUUUCCCUUACCAUUACAGUUUCCAAAUAAAAGCCAAAAGAUCAAGAGCAGCUCAUACCACUGCACAUGCACUUUGAUCAUAUAUGAACUCUAA